rnacentral:rRNA from 1 species
AGGUGUACUGUGAGGUAUGCUGGAGGUAUCAGAAGUGCGAAUGCUGACAUAAGUAACGAUAAAGCGGGUGAAAAGCCCGCUCGCCGGAAGACCAAGGGUUCCUGUCCAACGUUAAUCGGGGCAGGGUGAGUCGACCCCUAAGGCGAGGCCGAAAGGCGUAGUCGAUGGGAAACAGGUUAAUAUUCCUGUACUUGGUGUUACUGCGAAGGGGGGACGGAGAAGGCUAUGUUGGCCGGGCGACGGUUGUCCCGGUUUAAGCGUGUAGGCUGGUUUUCCAGGCAAAUCCGGAAAAUCAAGGCUGAGGCGUGAUGACGAGGCACUACGGUGCUGAAGCAACAAAUGCCCUGCUUCCAGGAAAAGCCUCUAAGCAUCAGGUAACAUCAAAUCGUACCCCAAACCGACACAGGUGGUCAGGUAGAGAAUACCAAGGCGCUUGAGAGAACUCGGGUGAAGGAACUAGGCAAAAUGGUGCCGUAACUUCGGGAGAAGGCACGCUGAUAUGUAGGUGAAGUCCCUCGCGGAUGGAGCUGAAAUCAGUCGAAGAUACCAGCUGGCUGCAACUGUUUAUUAAAAACACAGCACUGUGCAAACACGAAAGUGGACGUAUACGGUGUGACGCCUGCCCGGUGCCGGAAGGUUAAUUGAUGGGGUCAGCGCAAGCGAAGCUCUUGAUCGAAGCCCCGGUAAACGGCGGCCGUAACUAUAACGGUCCUAAGGUAGCGAAAUUCCUUGUCGGGUAAGUUCCGACCUGCACGAAUGGCGUAAUGAUGGCCAGGCUGUCUCCACCCGAGACUCAGUGAAAUUGAACUCGCUGUGAAGAUGCAGUGUACCCGCGGCAAGACGGAAAGACCCCGUGAACCUUUACUAUAGCUUGACACUGAACAUUGAGCCUUGAUGUGUAGGAUAGGUGGGAGGCUUUGAAGUGUGGACGCCAGUCUGCAUGGAGCCGACCUUGAAAUACCACCCUUUAAUGUUUGAUGUUCUAACGUUGACCCGUAAUCCGGGUUGCGGACAGUGUCUGGUGGGUAGUUUGACUGGGGCGGUCUCCUCCUAAAGAGUAACGGAGGAGCACGAAGGUUGGCUAAUCCUGGUCGGACAUCAGGAGGUUAGUGCAAUGGCAUAAGCCAGCUUGACUGCGAGCGUGACGGCGCGAGCAGGUGCGAAAGCAGGUCAUAGUGAUCCGGUGGUUCUGAAUGGAAGGGCCAUCGCUCAACGGAUAAAAGGUACUCCGGGGAUAACAGGCUGAUACCGCCCAAGAGUUCAUAUCGACGGCGGUGUUUGGCACCUCGAUGUCGGCUCAUCACAUCCUGGGGCUGAAGUAGGUCCCAAGGGUAUGGCUGUUCGCCAUUUAAAGUGGUACGCGAGCUGGGUUUAGAACGUCGUGAGACAGUUCGGUCCCUAUCUGCCGUGGGCGCUGGAGAACUGAGGGGGGCUGCUCCUAGUACGAGAGGACCGGAGUGGACGCAUCACUGGUGUUCGGGUUGUCAUGCCAAUGGCACUGCCCGGUAGCUAAAUGCGGAAGAGAUAAGUGCUGAAAGCAUCUAAGCACGAAACUUGCCCCGAGAUGAGUUCUCCCUGACUCCUUGA